UACGGAGGGUGCAAGCGUUAAUCGGAAUUACUGGGCGUAAAGCGCGCGUAGGCGGCUGAGUAAGUCGAUUGUGAAAUCCCCGGGCUCAACCUGGGAAUUGCAGUCGAGACUGUUCGCUAGAGUGUGGGAGAGGUGGUGGAAUUCCCGGUGUAGCGGUGAAAUGCGUAGAUAUCGGGAGGAACAUCAGUGGCGAAGGCGACCACCUGGCCCAACACUGACGCUGAGGUGCGAAAGCGUGGGUAGCAAACAGG
rnacentral:rRNA from 1 species